GACCAUCCUCCAAGGCUAAAUACUCCUGACUGACCGAUAGUGAACCAGUACCGUGAGGGAAAGGCGAAAAGAACCCCGGCGAGGGGAGUGAAAAAGAACCUGAAACCGUGUACGUACAAGCAGUGGGAGCACCCUUUUGGGUGUGACUGCGUACCUUUUGUAUAAUGGGUCAGCGACUUAUAUUCUGUAGCAAGGUUAACCGAAUAGGGGAGCCGGAGGGAAACCGAGUCUUAACCGGGCGUUAAGUUGCAGGGUAUAGACCCGAAACCCGGUGAUCUAGCCAUGGGCAGGUUGAAGGUUGGGUAACACUAACUGGAGGACCGAACCGACUAAUGUUGAAAAAUUAGCGGAUGACCUGUGGCUGGGGGUGAAAGGCCAAUCAAACCGGGAGAUAGCUGGUUCUCCCCGAAAGCUAUUUAGGUAGCGCCUCGUGAAUUCAUCUCCGGGGGUAGAGCACUGUUUCGGCUAGGGGGCCAUCCCGGCUUACCAACCCGAUGCAAACUGCGAAUACCGGAGAAUGUUAUCACGGGAGACACACGGCGGGUGCUAACGUCCGUCGUGAAGAGGGAAACAACCCAGACCGCCAGCUAAGGUCCCAAAGUCAUGGUUAAGUGGGAAACGAUGUGGGAAGGCCCAGACAGCCAGGAUGUUGGCUUAGAAGCAGCCAUCAUUUAAAGAAAGCGUAAUAGCUCACUGGUCGAGUCGGCCUGCGCGGAAGAUGUAACGGGGCUAAACCAUGCACCGAAGCUGCGGCAGCGAACGUAUCACUUAAAGCGAUUCAGCGGGUUACGAUUGACGGAGCGAAGCGACGUCAAAGCGUAUACAAAGUCGAGUCGGUUUAAGGAUACGUU
rnacentral:rRNA from 1 species